UCAUGGUGGAUAUUUUUAUUGUGCAUGAUAACUUUGACCCUAAGUUUGAAUUACAAAGUCGAAUUUGGAAUGGAAAAUAAAAAUAGAAAAUGAAAUCUGAAAAGGAAUAAAGAAAAAUGAACUCCUCGCGCUUUGGGCCGAAUUUCAUGCUUCCGGCCCACUCACCUCACCAGCCCACCGCGCCCUGCAUCCUUGACCCUAUGCGCCUCCUUCCCACUGACCGCCAGGUGGGCCUGUGGCCGCAGCCUCACUCCCGCCGCCAGUCGCUUUGUACGCGCCGUCUGUCUCUGGCAUAGUGGGCCCGCCCUGACAGGGGCCUUCUUCUUCCCCAACUAAUUUCCGCCAUCCGCAUGCUGGCAUGGUCGAGAUCCGCUUCGUCGGUCUUCUCCAGGCUUGCGUUGAAACUGAUUCUCGCUUCUACUGUCACCUAGAUCUGCGGCUCGGCCUCCGGGCUAUAAAGACCAAGCGCGCCCGUGGAAAAAAAGAAUAGUAGAGAGAGGGAGAGAGAUUGCUGUCGUGGUGGCCUUGCAAGCGUACCAACACCGAGGUCUGGGCGUUGGGUU
rnacentral:lncRNA from 7 species